rnacentral:tRNA from 1 species
AUUUAAGUAGUUUAUAUAUAUAAAAAUAUAGGGUUGUGGUCCCUGAGAAAUUUGUAUCUUAGAUU